rnacentral:rRNA from 1 species
AACGAACGCUGGCGGCAUGCCUAACACAUGCAAGUCGAACGAACCCUUCGGGGUUAGUGGCGCACGGGUGCGUAACGCGUGGGAAUCUGCCCUUUGCUUCGGAAUAACAGUUAGAAAUGACUGCUAAUACCGGAUGAUGUCUUCGAACCAAAGAUUUAUCGGCAAGGGAUGAGCCCGCGUAGGAUUAGGUAGUUGGUGGGGUAAAGGCCUACCAAGCCGACGAUCCUUAGCUGGUCUGAGAGGAUGAUCAGCCACACUGGGACUGAGACACGGCCCAGACUCCUACGGGAGGCAGCAGUGGGGAAUAUUGGACAAUGGGCGCAAGCCUGAUCCAGCAAUGCCGCGUGAGUGAUGAAGGCCUUCGGGUCGUAAAGCUCUUUUACCAGGGAUGAUAAUGACAGUACCUGGAGAAUAAGCUCCGGCUAACUCCGUGCCAGCCGCCGCAGUAACAC